rnacentral:rRNA from 1 species
GAAUUGUUCGCAAUGGGCGCAAGCCUGACGACGCAACGCCGCGUGGAGGAUGAAGGUCUUCGGAUUGUAAACUCCUGUUGACCGGGAAGAAUAGGUCCCACCCUAACACGGUGGGGCAAUGACGGUACCGGUUGAGGAAGCCCCGGCUAACUCUGUGCCAGCAGCCGCGGUAAUACAGAGGUGGCAAGCGUUGUUCGGAAUUACUGGGCGUAAAGGGCGAGUAGGCGGCCUUCUAAGUCGGACGUGAAAUCCCCAGGCUUAACUUGGGAACUGCGUCCGAUACUGGAAGGCUUGAGUGCGGGAGAGGGAUGUGGAAUUCCAGGUGUAGCGGUGAAAUGCGUAGAUAUCUGGAGGAACACCGGUGGCGAAGGCGGCAUCCUGGACCGACACUGACGCUGAAUCGCGAAAGCUAGGGGAGCAAACGGG